GACGAACGCUGGCGGCGUGCCUAAUACAUGCAAGUCGAGCGGACAGAUGGGAGCUUGCUCCCUGAAGUCAGCGGCGGACGGGUGAGUAACACGUGGGCAACCUGCCUGUAAGACUGGGAUAACUUCGGGAAACCGGAGCUAAUACCGGAUACGUUCUUUCCUCGCAUGAGGAAAGAUGGAAAGAUGGUUUCGGCUAUCACUUACAGAUGGGCCCGCGGCGCAUCAGCUAGUUGGUGGGGUAAUGGCCCACCAAGGCGACGAUGCGUAGCCGACCUGAGAGGGUGAUCGGCCACACUGGGACUGAGACACGGCCCAGACUCCUACGGGAGGCAGCAGUAGGGAAUAUUGCGCAAUGGGCGAAAGCCUGACGCAGCAACGCCGCGUGAGUGAUGAAGGCCUUCGGGUCGUAAAGCUCUGUCGGAAGGAACGAAUGCUCCUGAGGUUAAUAGCCUCAGGAGGUGACGGUACCUUCAAAGGAAGCACCGGCUAACUCUGUGCCAGCCGCCGCCGUAAGAC
rnacentral:rRNA from 1 species